rnacentral:misc_RNA from 1 species
AAAAUCGUUUAGAAUGUAGAAAGAGAAUUCAUAUAGUCAUUUCCAAAUUCUUAGGAUAAAAGGUUAGUCGAGUUGAGUUGAGUUUAAAAAUAUUUCUAUUUAUCUAUUAUGCUUUAUAAAGAUCUUUUGAUUAGAAUUAGAAAAGGAAAAUUGAAUGCAAUUUUUGAAAGUGAAAAUUUAGAUCUGACUGUGGUGGAUUGGCUGUACUGUUUUCUUCCCUUCUUUAAUCUUGUUAGUGGAAGGAAAAGACCUCGUUUAUAAUGAUCUUGAUGUCUAGCAUUGAAGUCUAUGCUAAGAGUUAAGAAAAGGUCUUGUAAUUAAUAGGCCUUAUAAUCUUUAUUUUUGGAUUUUGAGAACUGAUUGAUAGAAAUCUUUUAGUUGGUAUGAAGUAUAUUUAUCGGGUUUCAGAUUUUCUUUAUGAGUUAACAUAUGGGUUUCAGAUUUUCUUUAUGACAAUAGAAAACAAACCUAUUGUCUGCUUCAUGGAUGGACAGUUGUCUACGUGAUCGAACUGGAAGCUUGUACGCAUGUUUGAAAAAUCAAUUGCAAU